rnacentral:rRNA from 1 species
UACAGAGGGCUCAAGCGUUGUUCGGAUUCAUUGGGCGUAAAGGGUGCGUAGGCGGCGCGGUAAGUCGGGUGUGAAAUCUCGGAGCUUAACUCCGAGACUGCAUUCGAUACUGCCGUGCUUGAGGACUGGAGAGGAGACUGGAAUUUACGGUGUAGCGGUGAAAUGCGUAGAUAUCGUAAGGAAGACCAGUGGCGAAGGCGGGUCUCUGGACAGUUCCUGACGCUGAGGCACGAAGGUCAGGGGAGCAAACGGG